GAGCACCUUAGUUCGCAUUUUUCCCCUUGGAGCAGUUUAGAUUUCUAACCAGUUCUCAAUUAUUCCGUAGCGUUUGGUCAAGCUGAAAUCUGAUGGCACAGAACUUGUGACCAAUGUCCACGUUGCAGCUGAUGCAAGGGAAUCUAUGAGAAGGCUGGAAGAGGAAGAACAACGAAGGCAAAGGAAUGAGAAACUAGAAGCUGAAGCAAAAUCUGCGACUGAAAAAUUUGAAGAGAUUACCAAGAAAUGGGAAUAUGCUCUCUCCAAAGAAAUACCUCAAGAUUUGAAUUCAGUG